CACUUUUUAGUGUUUCUUUUGCUCAAACUCGUCAGUUCUACUUUGUGAGCACUGAGCUGAACUGGACAGACGCUCAGAGUUUCUGCAGACGUGAAUACUCUGAUCUGGCCACCAUAGAGAACACAGUUGAUGUUGAUGCUGUUCUGAAUACCACAUCAGAUUGCACAGGCAAGGUUUGGAUUGGUCUACACGAUGACUUGGAGAACAGCUGGAAGUGGUCCUUAAAUGACAGCAGCUUCUAUGUGGAAGGAGAGCAAACCUUCAAGAACUGGCAGUUAAACCAACCUGACAAUCUGAAUGGACAACAGUACUGUGUCGCAUUACAAAGUGGAAACUCAUCCCGAGACAACUGGGAUGAUCGCGAGUGCAGUGAAGAACAUGAAUUUGUGUGCUACAAUGGUAAGGGUUUUUAAACAUUUGUCCAUAUUCUCCAAAAGGUUUAUAUAACAUUGAAAACUCACAAUGUUCAUCACAAAUUGUGACUUUAUAGUAAUGCACACUUUCUGUUAAACUAAGUUCCGUGUAAUUGUCUUAAGUUUUCCAAAGAAUGUAACACAAAAACAACAGGAAAGAUCAAACCAAGAAACAUCUUCCAUGGUUGUUUUGGUCCUCAUUAGUCCACACUGUUUCUAAUUUCUUUGGCUACAUUUAAAUAAUAGUCAAUGCAUGUGACCAACAGUACAUCAACAUUACAUUAAAAGACUUUGGUGUAGCAUUGAGCAGGCAGUUGUUGACGGUUCAAAGGAAAACUACCUCACUGAAAGUUCAUUCAAAUAAAAGCCCUGUCUUUCAGAUUGACUAUCAGCUUUGACCUCUUGUCUUAUUAUGUGAUUUUUUUUUUUUUUUUUUUAAUGAAAA